GACGGAGGAUGCAAGCGUUAUCCGGAAUGAUUGGGCGUAAAGCGUCCGCAGGUGGCAGUUCAAGUCUGCUGUCAAAGACCGGGGCUUAACUUCGGAAAGGCAGUGGAAACUGAACAGCUAGAGUAUGGUAGGGGCAGAGGGAAUUCCUGGUGUAGCGGUGAAAUGCGUAGAGAUCAGGAAGAACAUCGGUGGCGAAGGCGCUUUGCUGGACCAUAACUGACACUCAGGGACGAAAGCUAGGGGAGCGAAUGGG
rnacentral:rRNA from 1 species